rnacentral:rRNA from 1 species
GAAUCAAUUUGUUGGUCGUGCCUCGGUACGUACUAGUAUUAUUGAUUUCUACCUUCUGACGAACCAUGAUGUCAUUAAUUUGGUGUCUUGGGGAAUCAGGACUGUUACUUUGAAAAAAUUAGAGUGUUUAAAGCAGGCUAACGCUUGAAUACAUUAGCAUGGAAUAAUGAAAUAGGACGUUUGAUUCUAUUUUGUUGGUUUCUAGGAUCGACGUA